CACGUAGGGGGCAAGCGUUGUCCGGAUUCAUUGGGCGUAAAGAGCUCGUAGGCGGUUCGAUAAGUCGGGUGUGAAACCUCCAGGCUCAACCUGGAGACGCCACCCGAUACUGUCGUGACUAGAGUCCAGUAGGGGAGCGUGGAAUUCCUGGUGUAGCGGUGAAAUGCGCAGAUAUCAGGAGGAACACCAGUGGCGAAGGCGGCGCUCUGGGCUGGAACUGACGCUGAGGAGCGAAAGCGUGGGGAGCGAACAGG
rnacentral:rRNA from 1 species